CUGUUUCUAUCUUUUAUGCAUCCUAUGGGAUGGAUAUCUCUCUUCAAAGUUAGCACCUUGUCUAGGAGAUACUUGAGCUCCUUGUUGACAUCCAGACUUUGCAUGUAACUGGGAGAAGAAGUUUGUGAGAUGACAAUUGUGUGUCAUCCUCCCUCCCUGCUCUCCCCCUCCCCCGCCCCCAACAAAGAAAUCCCAUGAUAAUGUACUCAAGAAGUACAAUUCAGGAUUCCUUCUCUUUAUCUGGAGUCAUCUGAAGUUGAACAGCUGCCUCGCCUGGAGGCCAUUUUUCUUCUGCAAUAAAUUUGUCUUCAUAACAAACCGAAGCCACUGACCUCCAGGUGGAGCUCCAUGAAAGAGAGACAGAAGGAAAAAGAGAAAAAACCAUGUUGGCGCCCCAGAGAAGCUGAUAGCCUGAGGAAGACACAAUGAAAUGUAAAGAUGGGGUGUGGUCCUUAAUGGAUUUGCAGGGAAGAGAGGGACAUGUGGAACACAUUCAGCCAGUUUAAUUCCACAGGAAUUUGGAGAGACUGCCAAAGUGCUCAGCCAGCCCAGGGAGGGGUGCGAGAGAGAGGAGACAUGGUCUAAGGAGCUGGCAGUCUCCGGGAGUGGCAGCACAUGCACUGGAGGAGGAAGAGCAAAAGAUCAGUUACAUUCCAUGGUCAACUGUGAUGCAGCUUAGGAUGUGGUUUCACAGGUAUCCUUUUCCACUUAUUAUAAAAUCUUUGAGUUGGAAGAAAAUUUAGAGGACAUUUGUUCAAAUCUACCACUUAAGAUGGGCACUUCUGGAUUCAAACUGGUGUUCCAGGUUACUUCAUUAAAGGAGCUAAUUGGCUUAGUCCACAUCCCUGGUAACAUCUUCUUGAAGCAAAAUGUGGAACAAGGUCUCCUGGCAACUGGAAACUAGUGGCCACUGCCCUUUUGCCCAGAAAAAAGGGGGCUAUCGUUGAACCAGGUGGAACCCAGAGGACACAGGCAGGCAGUCGGGCGAGCUGCUUGCUGAUGCUAAUUAUCCUAGCCCAGUGCUUCCCUUCUGGGGAAGUAGGAGGAGAGAAAUUCAUGCCAAGUUCUUGCACAAGGUCAAAUGUUUCUGGAGGAAGGCAGCCAGGGUUAAAUUAGCAGUCAGAAUGAGGUAGAAAGCUGGGUGGAGAAAAACAGGCUGGGAGAAGGGGGGAGAAGUCUGGAAAUUCAAAUAAAGACAGCAGUAAAAAGUAAUUACUAACACAUUUCCCAACUUGGAAAGCUAGCCACAUCCCACACCAGGGCCAGACUCAGAGCUGUUCUGUUCCAAGAAGGUUGGAGCAGGCUCAGGCACAGGAAGGGACUGUGCAAGCCAGCUGCCUGUCCCUGGCUUUGGAGCUGUGCUCCCCGAAAAGGAAAAUUCAUCUUGAACGAGAAAGCAAAGGACAUUGCUGCCUAAAUUCUCCAUUAAGAUCAACACUCUCCAUACAUUCAAUAUAUCUGUCCUUCCAGGACUACCCAACAGCAAAAAGUCAUCAAACAUCAAAACAAAGGAAACAGAAAUCUUCUAGGAAAAUGUAAGCCUUUGUGAACCUAAAAUAUUUUCCUUCUCUGCUGCUCAUCAACAUAACCGGAGGAAAGAAACUGUUUGUGGGAGGGACAGAUCUCAGGAGAAGAGGAGGAGGUGAAGGAAAAAAAAGGAAAAGAGAAGCAAUGCUCUCUGGUGUCAAGAAGAAAAUCAUGAUUGGAUUGACUGUUUGGAAUGAACUGUUUUGACAGUUGAUUUUUAUUAUUUUUUCCCCCUCCAACUUCAGAACCAUGACAGACGAUUGUGGAACAUCAAAUUGACGAGCGAAUACUUCAUCAGAUCUGGUUGCCUCAACAACUAAAAUAGCCAAAAUGUUAAGACAGUCAAAUAAGAUUGAUUAUUUCUGAUACAAUCUGUGGGUGGUUGACCCAAGAAUUCUCAGCCUAAUCACACAUAUAAACACAGAGGCCGUCUCAGCAGAUGCAGAAGCAGGCAGCGGACAAGUGAAAAAACCGUCAAUCACCUGGAUGGAUGCUCAUCACUGCCGUGCCACGGAGCAGUGUGAAGAGAAACACCCAGAAAAGCCUCUGGAUUGCUUCUGGGUGCUGGGUGUCACAGGAGGCAGCCAGCCUUAAAAAGCUGGGAAUUCGGAUCCUUCCGGUUUCUAGCAAAAAGACAGAGUCUGCUUGUAAUGGAAAAACAGAUUCCCUCAAAUUGUUGUCUAGGGGUGCUGAAUCAUGCAUGAAUGUCAGGAGAUGACGCCAACCACAGCAUCAUUUCAUGGGGACUUUAUCUGGUGUGAACCAAGAGAAUUGUACUUUAUGAAUUUUCUUUAAGCAUCCACAGAUAAUUGUUGUGCUGGGUCAUAUACCAAAAGGGAAAUUAAAUCUCUCUCAUAAUUGGAUUUGGUAUUUGCAGGCUUUCCUGAAGACAAGGGAAAGGAAGUUCAUUUCAGACUUAAAGAAAAAUCUUGAAUUAAAGAAUUGCAAUCACCGUAUCAGGUGCCUGUCUGAAUUUAACCCACCGCUUGCAGAGGGAUGAACGCCUUAGGGUGAUGGCGCAGGUACAAAAGGUUCCUGAGCGUCACGCUUGUUUGUUUGUUUGGCUAAGUUUUUCCUUUUCAUUGUGAGUUCUAAGAAAAUUAUUAUUUGAUAGCUUGGUGGCAAUGCAGUCUGUGUUGAGAAAAUAGGAAUUGAUUAAGAAGUGAGAGACUGUGAGAGACUGAAAAUGAGUGGGGGAAAAAAGCCUACAAAGCAUUUACAGUGUAAUUUUCCAAUACAGAUUUGAGCAGAUACCACAUGCAGUUGGAAACAGAUGCAUUUUCAAUGCUUUAUUAUUGAACGAAGAAUAAUUUCUGUUUCCCUCUUUUUAAAGAGAAUCCAAGAAAAUACAAUGCUAAAAUCUACAUAUUAGCAUGGUAUUCACUUGAAUGCCUAAUUGCUUGAAACUUGAAGGAUUCUGUUUCGACUCAGAGAUCCUGACAUGGCUAGCGUGCAGCCAGAUGUUAGGGAAGAAUAUUUGCAAGAAUCAUUUAUGGAAACAAAACAUUAAUCUGUAAAGACGUAUGCUAGAUUAAUUAGCAAGGAUGUUAACUUGAUAUGUGGAUUUCUAAUGAACCUGGGGAUACGUCUGAAUGUAUGUUUAAAACUUAAUAGGGGCACCUGGCUGGCUCAGUCAAUGGAGCGUGUGACUCUUGAUCUUGGGGUUGUGAGUUCAAGUCCUAUGUUGGAAGUAGAGAUUACUUGAAAAAUAAAAUGUUUAAAAAAAAUAAAAUAAAACAUAAUGUCACAUCUUCUUCAAUAACUUUGUAUUUUAUAAUACUUUUUACUUUUCUAUUCUGAUUGGUCUGCACCGCAAUCCUUGGGGGUCAACAUCUACACUGGACCAUGCUGAUGAAUAUAUAGCUUUGCCUGACAAUUGACUGCCCUUUUCUUCCAGCUAAAAUUGUAAGGGCUGAGCCUGUCUUUAUAUAAGAGUGGUUGCUAAGUGACCCAAACAGAUAAUCCACUGUGAGGCCAGAAAAUUAUCCCAUUCCUAGGAAUUUGAACCAGGAUCUUCCUAAAAAAUAAGAUAGUGGUGAGAGCCAAUGUUGACAUGUCUCUAUGUAGAGGGAAGUUGGGGAGGCCAUGAUGCUAGCUGAAGUUCUAGG